UACAGGGGGUGCAAACGUUGCUCGGAAUUAUUGGGCGUAAAGCGCGUGUAGGCGGCUUUGCAAGUCGGGUGUGAAAGCCCUCGGCUCAACCGAGGAAGUGCGCCCGAAACUGCAGAGCUUGAGUACCGGAGAGGAUGGCGGAAUUCCCCAAGUAGAGGUGAAAUUCGUAGAUAUGGGGAGGAACACCGGUGGCGAAGGCGGCCAUCUGGACGGAUACUGACGCUGAGACGCGAAAGCGUGGGGAGCAAACAGG
rnacentral:rRNA from 1 species